rnacentral:rRNA from 1 species
UUUCGCAAUGCCCGAAAGGGUGACGAAGCGACGCCGCGUGUGGGAAGAAGGCCUUCGGGUUGUAAACCACUGUCGGGAGUUAAGAAAUGUGAGAGUGUUAAUAGCGCUUUUACUUGACUAAAGCUCCGGAGGAAGCCACGGCUAACUCUGUGCCAGCAGCCGCGGUAAUACAGAGGCGGCAAGCGUUGUUCGGAAUUAUUGGGCGUAAAGAGCACGUAGGCGGCUUUGUAAGUCAGUUGUGAAAGCCUUCUGCUCAACGGAAGAACGGCAGUUGAAACUACAAGGCUUGAGUGCGGGAGGGGAGAGUGGAACUUCUGGUGGAGCGGUGAAAUGCGUAGAUAUCAGAAGGAACACCGGCGGCGAAGGCGACUCUCUGGCCCGUAACUGACGCUGAGUGUGCGAAAGCUAGGGGAGCAAACGGGAUUAGAUACCCCGGUAGUCCUAGCCGUAAACGAUGGGCACUAAGUAGAGGGGUUUU